UACAUCAGCGACAGUUCUGAGGAGGAGGAGGGUGUGACCGCGAGGAGCCCUUUGGCCCAACCUUUGUUGGAUACGCUGGAAUCCGACCCCGAAACUCUCGUGAGACACCCCAAAGAGCCUGAUGGCCUCUCUUUGUCCACCCCCUCAGAUCGCCACUUGGGAGAGUCACCGGUGGACAAGGCAAACGGAAAAGAUGGUGCUCAAGUAAAUGAACUAUUAAGAAACGGAGGUGGGGAUGGGUGGGUAAUGAGGCAAGGAACUGGGGGUUUGUGUAAAUUAAAAAAAAACCCAGCAGCUUUGGUACUUACACUGUUUCUUUUUCUGAAAAUCUUUCAGCAGCUCGACAAUGCCUUUCUAGAGGACCCAGAGCCCCUGGACAGCGUUGCAUCAAGCAGCGAAGAUGAACUGGGCCCACCAUGUUUUUGCUCAACACCAAUACAAAUUGUUGAAGAGGGCUCCAAGGAUGGUGGGUUUGAGGAGUUUAGAAGGAGGCUUGGCAUAGAACUAUCUGAGCCAGUGCCACGUCGUGAGCAUAAAAAAGUUAUGUGUACUAUUGUACGCGUUUCUGUUUAUGCUGUCCUUAAAAACUGCCUUAGGGAAAAGCUUUUUGAAGAUUGUGAGGGCCGUGUCAUAGAUGCGCCAGGCCAACGGCACCAUGACUAUGUGACUUGGACUUCAGUGGAUAUAAACUGCAAGCUCUGGGCCCUGUGUGCUGAGCUGUGUUUGGAAAGCUUACUAAACACUGUUAUUGCCAUAGGUUAUGCUAUGCAAUGUCUGUGCCUAACUCAAGAACAUUUAGCACAAGGGGUGACUUUGAUAAAUGCUGUGCAAUUCAGUGGAGACCCUGACCGUGUUUUAAAGAAAAUGACUAAGCCGGAAGAUGCCUGCUUACAACGUUAUAUUGACCGUCUAGUUCGCACAAGAAGUUACAGAGCCCUGCUUAAGAAAAAGACUAUUUGUAAGAAAUCUAAAAGGAUUAAGUUAGAGAAUGGUGGGGGUGCAAACAUGCGAUAUAAAACUUGGUAGCUGUAAAUUUUAAAAAAAGGGGCUUUUGUGACUAUUUGUGUUUUGUUAGAAUGCCUUUGACCCUUAAGUUUUAAUGAAGCAUCUUGGUUUGUUUUUAAG
rnacentral:lncRNA from 1 species